GUGCUCACUUUGGCAGCACAUAUACUGAAAUUGGAAUGAUGUAGAGAAAACUAGCAUGUCCCCUGUGCAAGGAUGACAUGCAAAUUCAUGAAGCAUUCCAUAUUAUU
ensembl:snRNA U6 U6 spliceosomal RNA